ACGCUCGACACCUGAGGCAGCAGUAGGGAAUCUUCCACAAUGGACGCAAGUCUGAUGGAGCAACGCCGCGUGAGUGAAGAAGGUUUUCGGAUCGUAAAGCUCUGUUGUUGGUGAAGAAGGAUAGAGGUAGUAACUGGCCUUUAUUUGACGGUAAUCAACCAGAAAGUCACGGCUAACUACGUGCCAGCAGCCACGGUAAUCUGAGCGGGCUGGCAAGGC
rnacentral:rRNA from 1 species